rnacentral:rRNA from 1 species
CCUACGGGUGGCAGCAGUGGGGAAUCUUGCGCAAUGGGCGAAAGCCUGACGCAGCAACGCCGCGUGCGGGAUGAAGGCCUUCGGGUUGUAAACCGCUUUCAGUGGGGACGAAUUCAGACGGUACCCACAGAGGAAGCCCCGGCCAACUACGUGCCAGCAGCCGCGGUAACACGUAGGGGGCAAGCGUUGUCCGGAAUCAUUGGGCGUAAAGAGCUCGUAGGCGGCUCAGUAAGUCGGGUGUGAAACCCCCAGGCUCAACCUGGGGACGCCACCCGAUACUGCUGUGGCUAGAGUCCAGUAGGGGAGUGUGGAAUUCCCGGUGUAGCGGUGAAAUGCGCAGAUAUCGGGAGGAACACCAGCGGCGAAGGCGGCACUCUGGGCUGGAACUGACGCUGAGGAGCGAAAGCGUGGGUAGCAAACAGGAUUAGAUACCCGAGUAGUC